rnacentral:ncRNA from 1 species
GUAAUGGUUCUAUAGAUUAAAAGGGAAUUGAGUGUAAAUCUCAAACGGUCCCGCCACUGUAUAGAGGACAAAAGCAGUAAUACCACUGAAAUGAAAAGUUUUGGGAAGGGCUGUUAGUAGGAUGAAUCUAAGUCAGGAGACCUGCCAUUAUUAA